GAUGAACGCUGGCGGCGUGCCUAAUACAUGCAAGUCGAGCGAACAGACGAGGAGCUUGCUCCUCUGACGUUAGCGGCGGACGGGUGAGUAACACGUGGAUAACCUACCUAUAAGACUGGGAUAACUUCGGGAAACCGGAGCUAAUACCGGAUAACAUGUUGAACCGCAUGGUUUAACAGUGAAAGACGGUCUUGCUGUCACUUAUAGAUGGAUCCGCGCCGCAUUAGCUAGUUGGUAAGGUAACGGCUUACCAAGGCAACGAUGCGUAGCCGACCUGAGAGGGUGUCCGGCCCCUCUGAAACUGUGCCCCCGUCCCGACUUCUCCGGGGCGCAGCAGUAGGGAAUUUUCCGCGAAGGGCGAAAGCCUUCCAGAGCCACCCCGCGUGGAUGAAAAAGGUCUUCCGAUCUAAAAACCCUUUUUUUAGGGAAAAACAAAUUUGUAAGGAACUUUUCCCGUUUUGGCGGGCCCUUAACAGAAAGCCCCGGCUAACCACG
rnacentral:rRNA from 1 species